rnacentral:rRNA from 1 species
AGAGUUUGAUCCUGGCUCAGGACGAACGCUGGCGGCGUGCUUAACACAUGCAAGUCGAACGAGAAUCUGUGGAAAGAGGAUUCGUCCAAUUGAAACAGAGGACAGUGGCGGACGGGUGAGUAACGCGUGAGGAACCUGCCUUUCAGAGGGGGACAACAGUUGGAAACGACUGCUAAUACCGCAUGACACAUUGAGGUCGCAUGGCCUUAAUGUCAAAGAUUUAUCGCUGAAAGAUGGCCUCGCGUCUGAUUAGCUAGUUGGUGAGGUAACGGCCCACCAAGGCGACGAUCAGUAGCCGGACUGAGAGGUUGAACGGCCACAUUGGGACUGAGAUACGGCCCAGACUCCUACGGGAGGCAGCAGUGGGGAAUAUUGGGCAAUGGGCGCAAGCCUGACCCAGCAACGCCGCGUGAAGGAAGAAGGCUUUCGGGUUGUAAACUUCUUUUGUCAGGGACGAGUAGAAGACGGUACCUGACGAAUAAGCCACGGCUAACUACGUGCCAGCAGCCGCGGUAAUACGUAGGUGGCAAGCGUUGUCCGGAUUUAAUAAAAAGUAAAGGGCGUGUAGCCGGGAGGGCAAGUCAGAUGUGAAAUCCACGGGCUUAACUCGUGAACUGCAUUUGAAACUGUUCUUCUUGAGUAUCGGAGAGGCAAUCGGAAUUCCUAGUGUAGCGGUGAAAUGCGUAGAUAUUAGGAGGAACACCAGUGGCGAAGGCGGAUUGCUGGACGACAACUGACGGUGAGGCGCGAAAGCGUGGGGAGCAAACAGGAUUAGAUACCCUGGUAGUCCACGCUGUAAACGAUGAAUACUAGGUGUGCGGGGACUCACCCCCUGCGUGCCGCAGUUACCCCCUAUUCUAUUCCACCUGGGGAGUACGA